rnacentral:rRNA from 1 species
GGGGGGGGGGGGGGGGGGGGGGGGGGGGGGGGGGGCGGGGGGGGGGGGGUGGGGGCGGGGGGCGGGCAGGGUGGGCGGCGGACGGGGGGGGAACGCGUAAUCAGCCGGCCCGGCAGAGGGGGACAACAGUUGGGAACGACUGCUAAUACCGCAUACGCGCUCAUCUCGGCAUCGAGGAUAGGUGACAGGCGGCCCCUCCAUGUCAGCUAGCACUGCAUGCGGGGAUUGCGUCGGAUUAGCUCGUGGGCGGGGUAACGGCCCCCCACGGCGAUGAUCAGUAGCCGGUCUGAGAGGAUGAACGGCCACAUUGGGACUGAGACACGGCCCAGACUCCUACGGGAGGCGGCAGUGGGGAAUCUUCCGCAAUGGACGAAAGUCUGACGGAGAAACGCCGCGUGAGUGAUGACGGCCUUCGGGUUGUAAAGCUCUGUUAAUCGGGACGAAAGGCCUUCUUGCGAAUAGUGAGAAGGAUUGACGGUACCGGAAUAGAAAGCCACGGCUAACUACGUG